AGUAUGAAGUUUAGCGGAGACGACAUCAGUUCAUCAUUGAGCUCUAGCACUGGGUUUUCUGGGUCAUCUGGGAAGGCACCAUCAUGGAGUCACAGUAGUCGGAGUACGUAUUCGUACAUGGACAGUAGUAUGAACUCUACCAAAUCACCAACACGUGCACCAAAUAAUUUUAGUAAUUCUCCACCGCUUACAAAUUCUGUGCCAAACAAACAAAAUGCAUCAAGUAAUCGAAUGAUGCAGACUGGAGGAGUUCCAAGCAAUUACCAAACAGGAGGUAGACAACAAAAGAACACUAGGAAUAGUGGAGGAUGGAUGGACUUUUAAUUUUGCUUCUGUUACUUUAUUUAAAAUUCUAUUUAAAAAUAGGAAAAAAAAAACAGGCAAGGAUAAUAAAAUUACCAAAGAACA